CAAUUUAGCUUUUAUGUGUGCUGAGGCUGUAUAUACCUGCAAUUGAAAGGUGCAAUUAUUCUGCACCUUCAUCCCCUUGGUUUGGCACGGGUGGCCCUGUUUUGCUUGCCAAUGCAGAACAUAUAAAAUCUGGAAUGUACUUGGUAUGGCAGUUGCCAAAGCAAACUUCUCUCAGCAGCUCUUGGUGAAUGGAAAAUUAUACCAAAGUACAACCGAUCUCGCAGCCAAAUUUUGCAACACUUGAAAUAAAUUCAUGUGUUAGGGUGGUCUUGACAGUUGACAAUGAUUAGCAGGUAUGUAUAUAUAUACCUAACCAAUUUUGGUGCUGGUCUAUUUACAAACAUCAACAAACCUGUGGUGAUGAUCCCCAUCAAUAAAAGAAGCUCUAAAGUUUCAAACAACUUAAAACUUACA